rnacentral:rRNA from 1 species
AUUGAACGCUGGCGGCAUGCCUUACACAUGCAAGUCGAACGGCAGCACGGGAGCAAUCCUGGUGGCGAGUGGCGAACGGGUGAGUAAUAUAUCGGAACGUGCCCGGUCGUGGGGAUAACGUAGCGAAAGCUACGCUAAUACCGCAUACGAUCUACGGAUGAAAGCGGGGGAGUCGCAAGACCUCGCGCGAUUGGAGCGGCCGAUAUCAGAUUAGGUAGUUGGUGAGGUAAAGGCUCACCAAGCCGACGAUCUGUAGCUGGUCUGAGAGGACGACCAGCCACACUGGGACUGAGACACGGCCCAGACUCCUACGGGAGGCAGCAGUGGGGAAUUUUGGACAAUGGGCGCCGAAAGCCCUGAUCCAGCAAUGCCGCCGUGCAGGAUGAAGG